rnacentral:rRNA from 2 species
CCUGGCUCAGAUUGAACGCUGGCGGCAAGCCUAACACAUGCAAGUCGAGCGGCAGCGAAAGAAAGCUUGCUUUCUUGUCGGCGAGCGGCAAACGGGUGAGUAAUAUCUGGGGAUCUACCCAAAAGAGGGGGAUAACUACUAGAAAUGGUAGCUAAUACCGCAUAAUGUUGAAAAACCAAAGUGGGGGACCUUUUUGGCCUCAUGCUUUUGGAUGAACCCAGACGAGAUUAGCUUGUUGGUAGAGUAAUAGCCUACCAAGGCAACGAUCUCUAGCUGGUCUGAGAGGAUAACCAGCCACACUGGAACUGAGACACGGUCCAGACUCCUACGGGAGGCAGCAGUGGGGAAUAUUGCACAAUGGGCGAAAGCCUGAUGCAGCUAUGUCGCGUGUAUGAAGAAGGCCUUAGGGUUGUAAAGUACUUUCAGCGGGGAGGAAAAAAAUAAAACUAAUA